rnacentral:rRNA from 1 species
ACGCUGGCGGCGCGCCUAACACAUGCAAGUCGAACGAGAGAUGAGGAGCUUGCUCUUCAAAUCGAGUGGCGAACGGGUGAGUAACGCGUGAGGAACCUGCCUCAAAGAGGGGGACAACAGUUGGAAACGACUGCUAAUACCGCAUAAGCCCACGGCUCGGCAUCGAGCAGAGGGAAAAGGAGUGAUCCGCUUUGAGAUGGACCCGCGUCUGAUUAGCCAGUUGGCAGGGUAACGGCCUACCAAAGCGACGAUCAGUAGCCGGCCUGAGAGGGUGAACGGCCACAUUGGGACUGAGACACGGCCCAAACUCCUACGGGAGGCAGCAGUGGGGAAUAUUGCACAAUGGGGGAAACCCUGAUGCAGCAACGCCGCGUGAGUGAAGAAGUAUUUCGGUAUGUAAAGCUCUAUCAGCAGGAAAGAAAAUGACGGUACCUGACUAAGAAGCCCCGGCUAACUACGUG